UUUAAAUAAUAGAUUCUUCAAGUACCGUGAACAAGUUGAAGAAUCGAGAGUGCACAGCGACAGGUGGAACAGCAGAAAUAGGCCAGUCCUGUUGCUUGCGUCAGGUGGUGAUGGCACAGGAGCGCAGAUUCAGGUUUGCGGUUACAAACAGGAAGUGGCCAGGAAUGGACAGAGAUUGCAGAGGAGCCUGGAAAAUGCUAUGAGGAGAAAAGGAAAGGAGGAAAGGGAUUGAGAUAAGAAAACCUGUUUGCAAAUGAAAACUUCAAGUGUGGCACACUGGAGGAAUGAGAUGCUCUCUUCCUGCAGAGAAUGGGAAUAAUUCUCCCUUGCCAAAAUAUGCUGCCUCACCAAAACCCAACAACAGCUACAAGUUCAAGCGUGAGCCGCCAGAGGGCUGUGAAAAGGUGAAAGUCUUUGAGGAA